rnacentral:rRNA from 1 species
GACGAACGCUGGCGGCGUGCUUAACACAUGCAAGUCGAACGGAAAGGCCCUGCUUUUGUGGGGUGCUCGAGUGGCGAACGGGUGAGUAACACGUGAGUAACCUGCCCUUGACUUUGGGAUAACUUCAGGAAACUGGGGCUAAUACCGGAUAGGAGCUCCUGCUGCAGGGUGGGGGUUGGAAAGUUUCGGCGGUUGGGGAUGGACUCGCGGCUUAUCAGCUUGUUGGUGGGGUAGUGGCUUACCAAGGCAUUGACGGGUAGCCGGCCUGAGAGGGUGACCGGCCACAUUGGGACUGAGAUACGGCCCAGACUCCUACGGGAGGCAGCAGUGGGGAAUAUUGCACAAUGGGCGGAAGCCUGAUGCAGCAACGCCGCGUGCGGGAUGACGGCCUUCGGGUUGUAAACCGCUUUCGCCUGAGACGAAGCGUGAGUGACGGUAAUGGGUAAAGAAGCACCGGCUAACUACGUG